GCUGGGCGUGGUGGCACACGCCUGUAAUCCCAGCGCCUCAGGAGGCGGGGGCAGGAGGAUUGCCAGUUCAAAGCCAGCCUCAGCAAAAAACGAGGUGCUAAGCCACUCAGUGAGACCCUGUCUCUA
rnacentral:sRNA from 1 species